rnacentral:rRNA from 1 species
UACGUAGGGGGCAAGCGUUGUCCGGAAUUAUUGGGCGUAAAGAGCGUGUAGGCGGCCAGAUAAGUCCGCUGUGAAAUCUCGAGGCUCAACUUCGAGCUGUCGGUGGAAACUAUUUGGCUAGAGUCCGGAAGAGGAGAAUGGAAUUCCUGGUGUAGCGGUGAAAUGCGCAGAUAUCAGGAAGAACACCCGUGGCGAAGGCGGUUCUCUGGGACGGUACUGACGCUGAGACGCGAAAGCGUGGGGAGCGAACAGG